rnacentral:sRNA from 1 species
GAGGCGUGAGACCUUCCAGCACCUCUUUAUGAUUAUCUCUGUGCCUCCUUGUACUCCUGAUCAGCCCAUCCUAAGCUCAAUUCGGUCAGUUUUUUCUUCUUUCCGAGAUUUGCUGCUUUUGCAUCAGCUUUUGUCACAUUUUCCAGUUGUGUUAGCUCUAGUCGACCACCAAGGUCCGACUGCCGCAGCUCUCCCAAAUCACUGCAGCCAGAGCAAGCACCAGCUACAAAGCAUGUGACGGAGGGCAGUCAUGUACUUCGUUCCCUUUGGAAGUCGAUGAAGAUUGCUACAGUGGGAAAGGUUCAGCGUUUGCAGAUGAUAUAGGAUGCUUAUGUCUUCAGGAAGUGCUUUAAUUUCACUGCAUGAGAGAUCAAGAUACCUCAGGAUCUGAAUUAGCCGGAUUCCAAUACCGAGAUGACGACUAGCCAUGCACCAGCAUUAUCGACAAGACUGCCGGCGGCGGGGAUGAAGAGGUUUGAAGCGUACCGGACCUGGAGGGAGCCGUGCCGCCCUUGCCGCAUUUGCGAUUUGCUGCCCGAACCGCGCCUUCCCUCCGCCGCCGGACCGCCGGAAAUGCGCUGAGCCGCCCAAACCGCAUCCCUCGCUAACCCAUACUCUCCCUCGGGGCUGAGCUUCUCGAUGUACUCUCGUAAUCUCAAAUAAAAAUUUCUGUCAGUCCUCUGUCAAGUAGUGUCCUGCUCUGCUGUCAUGAACUCUAGAAUCUGAAUUAGAAAUUUGUCU